GAGGUCUUAGCUUAAUUAAAGUGUCUGAGUUGCAUUCAGGAGAUGUAGUUUGUAUUCUACAGGUCUUCA
rnacentral:tRNA from 1 species